GACCGUGGUCCCGUGAGUGCACAGCGCUGAUCUCCACAGCAUGCAGUUGUUCCAAUGUCAGCUGCCGUGCGUACAGAUGUGCCACCACACGGUGUGGACCCUCAGUCAGGUGUGAACUCAGGUAAUCAGCUUCGGUAAGGCGUAGGCCGCCCAGGCCCAGGCCCAGCACCCGAUUCAAGCCAUCCUCCAGCGACCAGAAGCGCCGGUCCACGAAACCCCCGGGAAAGCCUAGCAGCCCGUCGAAGCGCAUCUGCAUCUGCAAGCUCCGGAACCGUCGUGGUCGACAUCUUGAUGUGCUCCAGGCCCACUGCCCAAACGAGCAUGCGCGACCCCGCCCACAACACCAGACCCAAUCCUCGUGCUUCCACGUGCAUAAAGCCCGCCUCCACCAGUCCUGUGCUUCUGGGGUUGAACCCAGGAAAGACCCUGGCGGAGGCGGGGUGGGGUGGGGGUGGAGUUAUGUAGUUCGCCACCCUCCAAGUUGCAGAGGAGACCCCACAACCACCAGAAAACUACAGCUACCAAGACGCACCGCACGGAGACCAGGUUGUCCUAAGCAGGAGCGCAGCUCAAGAGGGACAGCAAGUUCUGAGAAACCAUGAACCGACUAAAACCAAAGCAGCAGCACCAGGCCUGGCUCCCUGGCUCAUGGGAGAGGGCUACCGCCAAGAAGUCUCACCAACUAGGCACUUCCCAGACAGGCUGUGUGAACCUGGCUGCGAUGGUGCCAUCCUGGGGAAGCCUAAUAGGGAAGGCUGCUAGCCCCUCUGGAAGAACCUUAAGAAGAAAGAAGAGUCCCCGCUUGCCAGCUUAGUUUUCACGGAUGCUUCUGUAACAAUCUGAGCUACUCUGUGGCCAUGCAUCUCUCUCCAACCUCACUGGUCCCUAAGAGUGUGCAUGCGUGUGUGCACGUGUGCGUGUGUGUGUGGUGUGUGUGUGUGCGUGUGUAUGCAUGUGUGUGUGUGCGCGCACGCGUGUGCAUGUGUGUGUGGUGUGUGUGCGUGCGUGUGUAUGCGUGUGUGUGUGCGCGCAUGUGCAUGUGUGGUGUGUGUGCGUGCGUGUGUAUGCGCGUGUGUGUGUGUGUGUGCGCGUGUGCAUGUGUGUGUGGUGUGUGUGUGUGUGCAUGUGCACGUGUGCAUGUGUGUGUGGUGUGUGCGUGCGUGUGUAUGCGUGUGUGCGCGCGUGUGCAUGUGUGUGUGUGUGCGUGUGUGCGCACGUGUGCAUGUGUGUGUGGUGUGUGUGUGUGUGUGUGCAUGUGCACGUGUUCGUGUGUGUGUGUGCAUGUGCACGUGUGCGUGUGUGUGUGUGUGGUGUGUCAGGUUUCAGAGACAGGAUGAACAGGUUCCCAGUGGCAAUGAUGGUCUCAAGACAGAAAGCUGAGCAGUCCACAAGAGAGCUGCAUACCAGGACAGGGGACAGAGGACACAGUGACAAGUGAAGGAGGCGUGGCGAAUGUCCUCUGCACAGCAAUUGAAAGGCUUUUGUUUUGUUGUUUCGUUUCGUUUUUUAAACCAGAGACAGGGUUUCUCUGUGUAGCCCUGGCUAUCUAUCCUGUAACAACUCCCUCUCUAGACCAUGAUGUCCUGGAACUCAGGAGAUCUGCUUGCUUCCGCCUCCUGAGUGCUGGGAUUGAAGGCAUGUACCACCAUGUCUGGCAUUUUAUUUUUUUAAUGUUUUAUUCUCAUUUUAAGUAU
rnacentral:lncRNA from 1 species